GGGGCAGCUGCUGCCUUCCCUCACAGCCUCGAGCUCCCCGCAGAGCUGCCUCGCCGUGAGAAGAUGGCGGAGACGCCGGGGACGGGCACUGAGGUCUUGCGGCUAACGGAGCACAGUUUCAAAUGGCACCAGGACACCCACAAUGGAAGCCCCAGUUCUGCCUCCAUGGCCACUGCAGUGUCCAUAUGGAAAUGAAGCUGCUGAGAUGACGACAGAGGACAGCAACCAGCGCCCUCACACAAAUAGCAGUGACAAUUGUGAUGACAACAGCAGCACUGUACUCCAGCAUUGAUGAAGUUCGAGGACUAUACUAAUGAGCUGAAUGCCUGUCCCAAGUGUUCUGCAUUACUGCCUGGGAGGUGCCUCGGAAAAGCCUUGCUGCGAAGGUGGUGGUGAUGAGCUCUAGAUGUACACAAUGGCUGGGUGAAAAGACUUCCAACGGCUGUCAGAAAUUGCAGUCUGUGUUUUUGUGAAAAGAAUGAGAACACACACUUUGACUUAAUGAGGAUUUCUUGUGGACAAAGGUUACCAUUGGCUAGAAAGAGGUUUGGAGCCUCUCUCUUAAAAGCAGUGUUUAAAGGCAGAGAUUUUACAGGAUGGUGCUGACUGCUUGCAUGGGUGUAUGUGGAAAAUCUCUCAAGACUCAUCCAGUGCUGAAUUAGAUGGAGUCAUGCUCACAUCAGCGAGGCCAGGAGGAUGGUCCCAAUAAGGCAAGAAAGGAAAGAAUGUGAAACAGGAGGUAAGAUACUGGUGAAUCACUGCCAAUCCUAAGGGUGUGCUUACUCACCUUGCCAGAAAGAAAAAAGGCAGACUAGAAGUGGCACAGCAUUUUAUCCAAAGAAAUAUUAAAAAAUAAUC